UUCCGGUUGAUCCCGCCGGACCUGACUGCUAUCGGAUUGAUACUAAGCCAUGCGAGUCUUUGCAGUAAUGCAAGGCAUACGGCUCAGUAACACGUAGUCAACUUACCCUAUGGACGAGGAUAAUCUCGGGAAACUGAGCAUAAUACUCGAUAGAUCAUAAUGCCUGGAAUGGUUUAUGGUUGAAACGAUUCGUCGCCAUAGGAUAGGACCGCGGCCUAUCAGCUUGUUGGUGAGGUAAUGGCCCACCAAGGCGAUAACAGGUACGGGCUCUGAGAGGAGAAGCCCGGAGAUGGGUACUGAGACAAGGACCCAGGCCCUAUGGGGCGCAGCAGGCGAGAAAACUUUGCAAUGUGCGAAAGCACGACAAGGUUAGUCCGAGUGAUUUCUGCUAAAGAGAUCUUUUGUUAGUCCUAGAAACACUAACGAAUAAGGGGUGGGCAAGUUCUGGUGUCAGCCGCCGCGGUAAAACCAGCACCUCAAGUGGUCAGGAUGAUUAUUGGGCCUAAAGCAUCCGUAGCCGGCUCUGUAAGUUUUCGGUUAAAUCUGUACGCUCAACGUACAGGCUGCCGGGAAUACUGCAGAACUAGGGAGUGGGAGAGGUAGACGGUACUCGGUAGGAAGUGGUAAAAUGCUUUGAUCUAUCGAUGACCACCUGUGGCGAAGGCGGUCUACCAGAACACGUCCGACGGUGAGGGAUGAAAGCUGGGGGAGCAAACCGGAUUAGAUACCCGGGUAGUCCCAGCUGUAAACUAUGCAAACUCAGUGAUGCAUUGGCUUGUGGCCAAUGCAGUGCUGCAGGGAAGCCGUUAAGUUUGCCGCCUGGGAAGUACGUACGCAAGUAUGAAACUUAAAGGAAUUGGCGGGGGAGCACCACAAGGGGUGAAGCCUGCGGUUCAAUUGGAUUCAACGCCGGG
rnacentral:rRNA from 1 species